CCUACGGGUGGCAGCAGUGAGGAAUAUUGGUCAAUGGCCGGGCGGCUGAACCAGCCAAGUCGCGUGCGGGCAGACGGCCCUACGGGUUGUAAACCUCUUUUGUCAGGGAGCAAGGUGCAGGUCGGGCCCUGCUGUGAGCGUACCUGAAGACAAAGCAUCGGCACACUCCGUUCCAGCAGCCGCGGUAAUACGGAGGAUGUGCGCGUUAUCCGGUUUUAUUGGGUUAAAGGGGUGCGCAGGCGGAGGCACAAGUCAGCGGUAAAAUCGCGGGGCUCAACCCCGCUCCGCCGUUGAAACUGUUUCCCUUGAGUGCGCGAAGGGUAGGCGGAAUUCGUGGUGUAGCGGUGAAAUGCAUAGAUAUCACGCAGAACUCCGAUCGCGAAGGCAGCCUACCGGCGCGCAACUGACGCUCAUGCACGAAAGCGUGGGUAUCGAACAGGAUUAGAUACCCUUGUAGUC
rnacentral:rRNA from 1 species